GAGUUGUAAUUUGUAGAGGGUGCUUCGGGCGCGCGACCAGCCUAAGUUCCUUGGAACAGGACGUCAUAGAGGGUGAGAAUCCCGUACGUGGCCGGCCGUCUCCCCGUGUGAAGCCCCUUCGACGAGUCGAGUUGUUUGGGAAUGCAGCUCAAAACGGGUGGUAAAUUCCAUCUAAAGCUAAAUACCGGCCAGAGACCGAUAGCGCACAAGUAGAGUGAUCGAAAGAUGAAAAGCACUUUGAAAAGAGAGUCAAACAGUAUGUGAAAUUGUUGAAAGGGAAGCGCUGGCAGCCAGACGUGCCCGUGGGCGAUCACCUGGCCUUUGGGUCAGCGCACUCGCCCGCGAUCAGGCCAGCAUCAGUUUCGACGGCCGGAUAAAGGUGCGUGGGAACGUAGCUCUCUUCGGGGAGUGUUAUAGCCCACGCCGCAAUGCGGCCCGCCGGGACUGAGGACCGCGCUUUUGCUAGGAUGCUGGCGUAAUGGCUGUCAGCGACCCGUCUUGAAACACGGACCAAGGAGUCUAACAUCUAUGCGAGUGUUUGGGCGUAAAACCCAUGCGCGGAAUGAAAGUGAACGGAGGUGGGAGCUUCGGCGCACCAUCGACCGAUCCUGAUGUCUUCGGAUGGAUUUGAGUAGGAGCAUAGCUGUUGGGACCCGAAAGAUGGUGAACUAUACGUGAAUAGGGUGAAGCCAGAGGAAACUCUGGUGGAGGCUCGCAGCGGUUCUGACGUGCAAAUCGAUCGUCAAAUUUGCGUAUAGGGGCGAAAGACUAAUCGAACCAUCUAGUAGCUGGUUCUUGCCGAAGUUUCCCUCAGGAUAGCAGUGACGUUUUCAGUUUUAUGAGGUAAAGCGAAUGAUUAGAGGCCUUGGGGCUGAAACAGCCUUAACCUAUUCUCAAACUUUAAAUAUGUAAGAAGUCCUUGUUACUUCGUUGAACGGGACAUUUGAAUGUACCGUCACUAGUGGGCCAUUUUUGGUAAGCAGAACUGGCGAUGCGGGAUGAACCGAACGCGAGGUUAAGGUGCCGGAAUGCACGCUCAUCAGACACCACAAAAGGUGUUGAUUCAUCUAGACAGCCGGACGGUGGCCACGGAAGUCGGAAUCCGCUAAGGAGUGUGUAACAACUCACCGGCCGAAUGAAUCAGCCCUGAAAAUGGAUGGCGCUCAAGCGUGCUACCCAUACCUCGCCGUCAGGGUAGAAACGAUGCCCUGACGAGUAGGCAAGCGUGGGGGUCCGUGACGAAGCCUUGGGCGUGAGCCCGGGUCGAACGGCCCCUAG
rnacentral:rRNA from 1 species